ACCCGCACAAGCGGUGGAUGAUGUGGUUUAAUUCGAUGCAACGCGAAAACCUUACCCACCUUUGACAUGUACGGAAUCCUUUAGAGAUAGAGGAGUGCUCGAAAGAGAGCCGUAACACAGGUGCUGCAUGGCUGUCGUCAGCUCGUGUCGUGAGAUGUUGGGUUAAGUCCCGCAACGAGCGCAACCCUUGUCAUUAGUUGCUACGAAAGGGCACUCUAAUGAGACUGCCGGUGAUAAACCGGAGGAAGGCGGGGAUGACGUCAAGUCCUCAUGGCCCUUACAUCCCGGGCUACACACGUGCUACAAUGGCAGGUACAGAGGGCUGCAAAGCCGCGAGGUAGAGCGAAUCCCAGAAAACCUGUCUCAGUCCGGAUUGAAGUCUGCAACUCGACUUCAUGAAGGCGGAAUCGCUAGUAACCGCGAAUCAGCAGGUCGCGGUGAAUACGUUCCCGGGCCUU
rnacentral:rRNA from 1 species